GGGAAAACGGAGGAAGUUCAGCGGACAACGGGCGUUUCGGGACAAUCAACUACACAAAAGAAAAAGUCAUUUAAACUCAAAGCGUCGAAAUGCUCGAAAUAAAUUACCCAAAAAAUUCAUUACAAGCCCGAAGGCGCUACGAAAGUUACAACAAAAGCCACAACUACAUACCAUAAGUUACAAAAACAUCGUCAAAAGCUAAACGUGCACUAAAGAAAAGAAAAAGAAGGAUGGCGGGAGCGAAUCGCGGGGCACCACACAAUUUCCCAUCCAGGUAAUUUUAUACCAAGGAGGAAGAGGAGGAAGUUAUCCCCGAACGUCGCCACCCAGAGGCAUGGGAACGGACGAGAGAUCGCCCGCAAACGCCUGGGAGCGCAAACCUAACGGCCCGAUUUCGGAAGCCCCGACAAGAAAUGUCGUAAAUCGUUAGCCGGAAGGGACGGAGACCCAUGAGAGCCACGGUGACCGCUGACGGCGACUAGAUCCCCCGACCGGAGCAGCGGUCGGCGCACUAUGUAGGGAGCAGCAGGAGCUUAAGGUCACAGCACCAACAACGGCAACAGGCACGCCGAAAGAGGAUGAAGCGUAGGACCGACGAAGUUGGGCAAGGCGGCGAUGGAUGUCUAGAACGAAGUUGAGCCGCUAACUCUCCGACACGGCGAUGCUGUGAAAGUCACCGACGGGCAUCAUCAGACACUCCGUCCACGCGGCAUGCUGAAGCUUCACCUCGCGGCCAAACUCUUCCAGAAGGUCUUGGACGCUCAUUGAAAAGGAACUGCAAAAUGAGGAAAAGGAACUGCACAGAGACAGCUACUUAUAAAAAAAUGGGGGAAAGGGCACAAACAACGAAGUUUUAUAAAGAAGGUAGUUGAGCAAACCAAGAAAAACGGAUCGGGCAGGGCCUUACCCCCACGGGUCAGGAGUGAGUACUGUUGGUAUCAAGGCCCGUCCAGACGGACCAUGGGCCGAACAGACCAUAAGGCCCAGGAGGCCUAUGGAGGAUAUCUAUAUAUACCUCCCAUGUUCCAACAGAGGAGGAGGUUGAGAAUUAGAGAGAAGAAUACUAGAAAGUUGUGUGUGUGAGCGCGAGCCCAUACACCAUCAAUAUCAAAUAUCAAUUUGAAUAUUAUGUAUUUUAUUCAUUAAAUCUCUGCACACGC
rnacentral:lncRNA from 1 species